AACCGUGCAGGUUCGAGUCGAGCAAAGCGAGACAACGGAGUCGCUCGCGGCGACGGCCCGAAGGGCGAGCAAAGCGCGUUAUCCUGCCCGAGCCACCA
rnacentral:sRNA from 1 species